UACGUGGGGGGCAAGCGUUGUCCGGAAUUACUGGGCGUAAAGGGUGCGUAGGCGGCCUAAUAAGUCAGAUGUGAAAUACCGAGGCUCAACCUCGGAGGUGCAUUUGAAACUGUUGGGCUUGAGUGCAGGAGAGGAGAGUGGAAUUCCUAGUGUAGCGGUGAAAUGCGUAGAUAUUAGGAGGAACACCAGUUGCGAAGGCGGCUCUCUGGACUGUAACUGACACUGAGGCACGAAAGCGUGGGGAGCAAACAGGAUUAGAUACCCGGGUAGU
rnacentral:rRNA from 1 species